AAACUUUCCAGUUUUUAAAUAGACCCCAGUGAGUAGCAUUCCCAUCCUUUGUGAGACAUACUUCAGCUACUGGUGGUGAAGGCAGAGGGACAACUCUGUCAGUUUCUUUUAUGCCUCUUCCUGGGGACAACUCAUACUAUGACUAGAUUUUCCAAAGCCAAGAUCAACCACAACAUAUGAUCUAUUAAAUAUAAAUUUUGUGUGUGGUGUCCUAGAAUGGAAUACUCGAAAUUGGAAAUGUCCCACAAAAACAAUUAUAUGAUGACACAGAACAUGGGUUAACUAGGAUGAACAGUAAAGAGAGUUGGAAACAAGACAGAAUCAAUAAUGACAAUAGAAUGAUAGGGUCUUGUGUCAUCUUUGAAGAAAAGGACAAUAAAAAUACUAUGUCCCUGAAGGGACCCUCCCCAUACCCCAAAACCUAGCCAGGUUAAGGGAACAAUGAGAGUGAGUCUAGGCUCAAAUAUCCAGAUAUAAAUUAUCCUGAGGGACACUGGCUUUCUCUCUUAUGCUGGAAAUUAGGGCAAGUUAGUGUUAUCAGUACAAAGUGGCUUUUUUGUAUUCACAACAAGUUCCUUGGGAUGCUGGUCACAGGUAAAAGCAAGCUAAAUUGAUGAUGUCACUAUGUCUGUAGCAUAAUAUAUACAACCCCUCUUCUUGUGGUAUCAGAGCGUUGUGGAGAAGGAGUGCUGGCCCUCACUUUACAAAGUGUCGAAGGGGGUCAGAGGCACUAUUUUAUGGUGAAGCACUGGAGGCACCUUGUGAAAUGGAAGCAUCUGUCCACCCCAUUGCCAUUGAGCUUUCUGGCCAGGCACCUAGACUGUUGCCACUGGAUCUUCCCCAUAAGUGUUUCUUAGUAAACCUUAUAUCUCACAUCCCAUCUUUAGGUGUCUUCUUUGGUCUCUCAGCAACCUACCCCACUACCCUAGCACAACUGGGCUGUAAACAUUACAGGCCUCAAGAGGGGUUGUUAGCUCCCUCUACCAUAGGGAGGGCCUAUAAUCAUGUUAUAAUGGACAUCUAU
rnacentral:lncRNA from 1 species